AAGCUCAGGUUAAGAAAUCUCUUAGCCGUUAAUUAAUUUAAAAAAAAUGAAAGACUUUUUUCCUAUCUUGUAAAGAGUAACGGAGGUGUGUGAAGGUAGGCUCAAGCUAAGAUUCUGCUCGUGAGCAUAAUGGUAUAAGCCUGCCUAACUGUGAGACUGAAAACAAAGAUGAAAGUCGGCCAUAGUGAUCCGGGAGUCCCGUGUGGAAGGGCUCUCGCUCAACGGAUCAAAGGUACGCCGGGGAUAAUAGGCUGAUGACUCCCAAGAGCUCUUAUCGACGGAGUUGUUUGGCACCUCAAUGUCGACUUAUCACAUCCUGGGGUUGAAGAAGGUCCCAAGGGUUUGGUUGUUCGCCGAUUCAAGUGGUACGUGAGUUGGGUUUAGAACGUCGUAAGACAGUUCGGUUCCUAUCUACUGUUGGUGUUAAAGGGAGAACUGCGAGGAGCUAACCCUAGUACGAGAGGACUAGGUUGGGCUAACCUAUGGUAUACCAAUUGGUAUGCCAAUAGCAGCGCCUGGCAGCUAAGUUGGUUUGGAAAAACUGCUGCACCGUGGGAAAUCCUUCUCUAUACAAGUUCUCGGACGAUGUUUUUGAACAAAACUUCGAUAGGCAAGAGGUGUAAGCACCGCGAGGUGUAAAGCGAUCUCAUACUAC
rnacentral:ncRNA from 1 species